rnacentral:other from 2 species
AAAAUCCUGCGAUGUGCGUUUCGGUUAUCGUGUUUUAAACCAAUGAUUGUUUCUAGGGAGACCUAUAUAGAAUUGCGGCUGACCUGCCCUCGAAAAGGGACUUCAAAACCGAUUCUGCGGUCACCCACCUGCUAGCGCAGGUUUGAGACAAGUUGACCGGACGGCAUAGGCGGGUUUUUU